GUCCAGGGAUGGGAAUCGAACCCAAACAGUGUUCCGCUUACCGGACAGAUGCCAUGUCCACUAGGCUACCCUGGA